GUGCGUAGCAGGGACCUCCACAGAGGAGACCAACCCUCUAGAGGAAAGGUGAAUGAAACUCUAAAUUGUCUGCUCAGGACAUCCAGCCACAAGAGGAGCCUACAACCACAGCAUCUGACUCAGUUUUAGAAAUGAGGUCAACCACAUAAACUCAUUCAAUCCAGAGGGUAUACGUGGAAAUGGAUCACAUAUAACUUUAAAUCCGGAAAUUGGUGGCUCAAAGAGAUUGACACAAGCCAACACCACUGAAGAGCAGUGUGCUAUGUGCUGAGAGAAAACAGGUGUGCAGAGAGGAGACUGGAUCAUACCACUGCUGCAGAGCUCCUCGGUACCCUUUACUCCUAGAGAUGGCCAUUCCCUGGGGUCCUCUACUGGCCCUUCUUCUCCUUCUAGGAGUUGUCACCUGUAAAGAAGGCUUUGGGCCAAACAAGGCAACAACAUUACAGUCCUCUUUUGCUACUGUGGCAGACAGCAAGAGGUACCACUGGGAUUACACUUCAAGAAGACUUGUGUCCAGACGCUGGGAGGAACAUCAGCCCCUUCAUCACUGUCUUACCAGCAAAGAACCACCUUGCCCAGGUCCAUUCCACCCCAGGGAGGCCCACAUGGAAUGACUGUUCAAUGUGUAGGUGAGAGGCUUAUCUCAGCCCUCCUAGGAACAACUAUGAAGAGCCAUGCUGGUUCUCCUGGUCCCUGUGUGUCACCCAAGGCUGUCGCUGGGCUUCCACCCCAGAUCACCUUCUCCCUCGGCCCAGCCCAUUUUCCUUCUCUGCUUUCCACCAGUGUCAAUCCAAGGGGACUGGU